AGUGAACGCUGGCGGCAGGCCUAACACAUGCAAGUCGAACGGCAGCACAAGAGAGCUUGCUCUCUGGGUGGCGAGUGGCGGACGGGUGAGGAAUGCAUCGGAGUCUGCCCAUUUUUGGGGGGUAACCUCGGGAAACCGGGACUCAUACCGCAUACGACCUCCGGGUGAAAGCAGAGGAUCUUCGGACCUUGCGCAGGUGUAUGAGCCGAUGUCGGAUUAGCUAGUUGGAGGGGUAAAGGCCCACCAAGGCGACGAUCCGUAGCUGGUCUGAGAGGAUGAUCAGCCACACUGGGACUGAGACACGGCCCAGACUCCUACGGGAGGCAGCAGUGGGGAAUAUUGGACAAUGGGCGCAAGCCUGAUCCAGCCAUGCCGCGUGUGUGAAGAAGGCCUUCGGGUUGUAAAGCACUUUUGUUGGGAAAGAAAAGCAGCCGGUUAAUACCCGGUUGUCAUGACGGUACCCAAAGAAUAAGCACCGGCUAACUUCGUG
rnacentral:rRNA from 1 species